CCUGUCACAACGGCUUCCUGGCGUGACGGGCUUAACCCAUUGGAGCA
rnacentral:ncRNA from 1 species